AUGCAGUCGAGCGGAUGAGAAGAGCUUGCUCUUCGAUUCAGCGGCGGACGGGUGAGUAAUGCCUAGGAAUCUGCCUGGUAGUGGGGGACAACGUUUCGAAAGGAACGCUAAUACCGCAUACGUCCUACGGGAGAAAGCAGGGGACCUUCGGGCCUUGCGCUAUCAGAUGAGCCUAGGUCGGAUUAGCUAGUUGGUGAGGUAAUGGCUCACCAAGGCGACGAUCCGUAACUGGUCUGAGAGGAUGAUCAGUCACACUGGAACUGAGACACGGUCCAGACUCCUACGGGAGGCAGCAGUGGGGAAUAUUGGACAAUGGGCGAAAGCCUGAUCCAGCCAUGCCGCGUGUGUGAAGAAGGUCUUCGGAUUGUAAAGCACUUUAAGUUGGGAGGAAGGGCAGUAAGAUAAUACCUUGCUGUUUUGACGUUACCGACAGAAUAAGCACCGGCUAACUCUGUGCCAGCAGCCGCGGUAAUACAGAGGGUGCAAGCGUUAAUCGGAAUUACUGGGCGUAAAGCGCGCGUAGGUGGUUUGUUAAGUUGGAUGUGAAAGCCCCGGGCUCAACCUGGGAACUGCAUCCAAAACUGGCAAGCUAGAGUACGGUAGAGGGUGGUGGAAUUUCCUGUGUAGCG
rnacentral:rRNA from 1 species